rnacentral:rRNA from 1 species
AUUGAACGCUGGCGGCAGGCCUAACACAUGCAAGUCGAACGAGCGGCGGACGGGUGAGUAAUGUCUGGGAAACUGCCUGACGGAGGGGGAUAACUACUGGAAACGGUAGCUAAUACCGCAUACCAUCAGAUGUGCCCAGAUGGGAUUAGCUAGUAGGUGAGGUAACGGCUCACCUAGGCGACGAUCCCUAGCUGGUCUGAGAGGAUGACCAGCCACACUGGAACGGAGACACGUGCCAGACUCGUACGGGAGGCAGAAGUGGGGAAUAUUGCACAAUGGGCGAAAGCCUGAGGCAGCCAUGCCGCGUGGGUGAAGAGGGUCGUCGGGUUUUAAAGCACUUUCAGCGGGGAGGCGUUACCGGCAGAGGAAGCACCGGCUAACUCCGUGCCAGCCGCCGCGGUAAUAC